GAUCUUUUACAUUUUAUUAAAUUUUUAAAUAGAUUUAAAAUUGUAAAGGGAGUAAUACGCUUUAGUUUUUCUUUUUAGCUAGUUUUAUUCGUUGCCACAGGGUAAGCCUGUUGUUAGUUGUUUAUUUUUUUUUUAUUUCAUUAACCCUUAAAAGUAGGGCUCUGUGUAAUAACUUUUUGUUUUUAAAUACAACUCUUUAUUAGUUUUAUUAUUUAAAUUAAUUAUUAGAUUAGUAGAUUUUUAUUUUCUUAUUAAAUUUUUUUCUUUUGUUUUUUAAAGUUAUUUAUGUUUUACUGAUUUAACUUUAGACUGGUUAAUAAAACCUUAGCUAUAAUUUUUAUAGUUAUUUCUGCCCUAUGUUAUUGAAAUAAAUGGCUGUGGUUUUCACACUAAGGUAGCGAAAUCAUUAGUUAUUUAAUUGGUAACUCGUAUGAAUGAAACGCCUAAAGUAAUAUUAUAUUUUUUCUUUGAACUUAUAUUUUUGUUGAAAAUAACAAAAAGGCCCCUAAGACUAAAAGACCCUAAAAUUUUUAUAACUAUUGUUGUUAGGUUAUUUGGUUGGGGCAAUAAGAUUUAUUAAAUAAAUCUAUUUUAUUUUGUUUGAGAACUUGAAAGUUUAGAGAAAUAAAUAAAAUACUUUAGGGAUAACAGCUUUAUUGCUUUUUUAAGGCCUUAUUAAUGAAGUAGUUUGGGACCUCGAUGUUGGAUUGGAAAAACUUUUAGGCG
rnacentral:rRNA from 1 species